UUGAUGUCAUUGUGUGUUGCACAAUUACAGCCUCACACUAAGUUGAUUAGUUAAUGCUGCUACUAAUGAGGCCUAAACAGUUGUUUCCCUCGCUAUCCAAGGCUGAAUAUAUGUUGUCUUUGGAUGUUGGGAAACUACAUUA
rfam:Ricinus communis cultivar Hale ctg_1100012340186, whole genome shotgun sequence.